UACCAGCUCUCCGAGUGGUAGGGAUGAUUAUUGGGCUCAAAGCGUCCGUAGCCGGCUUAGCAAGUUUCCUGUUAAACCCAGCGACUCAAUCGUUGGAUCGCGGGAAAUACUACUAGGCUAGGAGGCGGGAGAGGUCAACGGUACUUCUGGGGUAGGGGUGAAAUCCUAUAAUCCCGGGAGGACCACCAGUGGCGAAGGCUGUUGACUAGAACGCGCUCGACGGUGAGGGACGAAAGCUGGGGUAGCAAACCGGAUUAGAUACCCGGGUAGUCCCAGCUGUAAACGAUGCGAGCUAGGUGUUGGGAUGGCUACGGGCCAUUUCAGUGCCGCAGGGAAGCCAUUAAGCUCGCCGCCUGGGGAGUACGGCCGCAAGGCUGAAACUUAAAGGAAUUGGCGGGGGAGCACCACAAGGCGUGAAGCUUGCGGUUC
rnacentral:rRNA from 1 species